GACAGAGGGUGCAAACGUUGUUCGGAAUUACUGGGCGUAAAGGGCUCGUAGGCGGUUUGUCGCGUCGGGAGUGAAAACACUGGGCUUAACUCAGUGCUUGCUUCCGAUACGGGCAGACUAGAGGUAUUCAGGGGAGAACGGAAUUCCUGGUGUAGCGGUGAAAUGCGCAGAUAUCAGGAGGAACACCGGUGGCGAAGGCGGUUCUCUGGGAAUGUCCUGACGCUGAGGAGCGAAAGUGUGGGGAGCGAACAGG
rnacentral:rRNA from 1 species